UGAGCCCUCGGCUCGUACUAGGGUGGUUUGCAGGUACGGGGAACGCACCCACGACCAUGUAACAACAACAACAACAUGCUACGUUACGUUAAGACUUUUGGGAAAAGUGGUCGUCUCGGACAUGGUACGGUACGUUACCGGUAAAUUGGACGAAAAGUCUAAUACUGGAUUUACAUGCUACGUUACGUUGCGAAAACUUUUAGGUAAAAGUGGGCCUGCGAAAGUCACCCAGUUUAUACUGGAUUUACAUGCUACGUUACGUUGCGAAGACUUUUAGGUAAAAGUGGGCCUGAGAAAGUCACCCAGUUUACAUGGGACGCUACGACGACGUUGUGUUCGUUGGCGCGAGCUGUGUAAACCAUCUUCAUUUUAUGGCUUUCAAUGGCCAAAACUUCAGCAUAUUCCCAUAUGGAUUGGAAUAA
rnacentral:lncRNA from 1 species